CAGACUCUGGGCCGGGCAGGAGGGCGGGGCUCGAGGGCGGGGGCCAGUUUUGAUCGCUCAGCUCCGCGGUAACGUGGUCUUCGCCGCACCGAUUAGCUGGAGGAGCCAGCCCCAGGCGAGGAGUUCCGUUCUGCGGAGUCCCUCCCUCCCCACCCCGCGUCAUCUCGCUCCCGGAGCCUGGGCGCCGCUCCUCCCCAAGUCUCACCAGAAACUUCAAGGGGUAAUGGCUGUGUGUUCCUGCGGUAAUGAGGAGGCCACACAGCCCUCCACACUCCGCUAAACCAAUGUGUAAGGCACGUCCCGGUCUCCGGGGACAGACGGGGAAGGGACGCAGCUGGGACCUCUGCUGGCGAGUCCUCCUCGAGGGGAGUGGCGUCUCCCUGACCCUCUGCAGCUCAGCUUAGGCCUCGGUCGUCCUCUAAUUUCUUUAGAAAGAGAAAGAGAGGCACAGAACACGCAUCUCGCCGCCCACCGGACAAGCCGCGGAACUUGGGUCUUGCUUGAAAACUUUUCCAAAUAAAUCACUCUGGUGGCUUUGAGCUGUGAUGAAACGAGGCUGGAUGCUGCUCUUCUCCACAAGAGCGCUGCGGAUGUAAAGGAUGAGGAGCCGCCCUCCCCCACCUCUUUCUUUCUUUCCCACAUAAGUCAGCCAUAUAAAUCAUUCGCAUUGUUUAAGUGGCAAAAAGAAGUAACAUGGAGGGAAGGAAGGAAAAACCAGACUUUCUUCAUGAGAGCCUUGGAGGUGCAAUGCUUGUUACCCUCCUGCAGUGUGGUGCCUUCUCCAAGCCCUGGAUGGAAGAGGAAAGAGUUGGAAGUUGGGAGCCUCCUGAAAAGCUGCCUAUGAAGUGGUAAAAGCUGAAGAAACUGGUACCCUGACUGGAGUAGAUGGCCAAUGACCAGAAUUGAAUCACCUGGCAUCUGGCUUUUCUUGAUAUUAGUUCCGGAUUUAUGUGAAAGGGUCCUUUAACGUCUCCAAGAAUGGUUCCAAUAGAGUUGGCGGAGAUAACAGAUGUGUAUCACUUUGGUAGAGAUGCUCUUUAAAAGAAGAAAGCCAGCCAUAUUUGCUUAGGUCUAGGACCCCUCCUUGGUGGUUGAUGAAGGAGGGAGGAAGGUACAACCCCAAGCCGAAUAGGCCCCCCAUAGUUUCCUAGUAAUGCAGUAAACAAAUCUAUGAUGCUUGUUGAAUAAUCUUCCAAUAAUUGCAGUCAUUAAAAUCAUCACACAGUCUACCGUCACCUUCCUUCCUUUGACAUACCAGUCUUCCCUUUAAUUGUUAAUGCAUUUUUGGUUCACAUAAACAGAUCAAGGCAAGCUUAAAAUAUAUGGCCCAGAUAAGAUACAUGUGGCAAAAAAAAAUUACUUGUGUACCAAACGUUUGGACUGUAUUUAAGAGACUAGUGGUUUUCAGUUUUUCCAGCAGGCUUUACAGAGGCAAGGAAGAUUCGUACCUCCUACCCCUCUAAAUAGCAGUAACACCUCCGAGGUAGGAAAAUUUUUUUAAAAAGAUGAAAGUCUCAUUGGCCUAUUGAUUCUUCCUGGCUCUUUUAUUUGCAAGGAUUGGGUUGUAAAGAGGGAGGGCAUUAUAGAAC
ensembl:lncRNA